GGUAGAGGAGGUUUCACGACCCAAUACCCCCUUCCAAUCGUCUGCUACCCUCCACGCGGAACGAGACGGGCGAGACGAGGAGCCCGCCGCCUCCUUGAUACGCGCCGCCGGAUCUUCGACGUCCCGCCGCCGCCUUGACGCCGGCCUCCUCCUCUGGCAGCCUGGCGUUGUCCCCAAGAAAAGAAGGAGGUAAUUGCAAAUUCUGAACCGCCAGAUCACGAAGGAGAGCAAGCCUUGCUUGAUUUCCACCCUUCUGCAAUUGAUUGGUCUUUCUAGUCGGCUGAGUCUUGCCUGAUAUUCUCAUGGACUCGUUUCUGCUGAGAUUCUUGCUGGCGGACGAGCAGGUUCUUACUAUGCUUGAUGGGGUUCGUUUAUUGAACACAAAUAACGAUGGGAUUCUUCUAGUGACAAAUUUCCAGUUUCUCUUUGUGAGUAAAGGAGAAAAAAAAAAGUUGGGCACGAUCCCUCUGACUACAAUUGCCAAAAUUGAGGACAUCACGGUGAAUUUGUUCUAUUACAAGGGAAAAUCAAACAGUCUUUGCAGCAGGAGCAGGCUGUAAGGUCUAUUCAAGUAACUGGUUACGACUCGAGAAUUCUUACGUUUGCUGUUAAAUCUAAUCACAAUGAUCAGGGAACUGUAGUUGCAUGUUUGAGAAAAUACGCCAAACCUGCUGAUUUGCGUGGUCUAUUUGCAUUUCGAAAUCUGUCCGUUCCACGUGCCGUUGAUAAUCGAGUCAGCCCUGAAUUUCGGCUUUUGAAAGAAUACCACCGUUUUUUUCAUAAAUGGUUUUCUCAUUCACCAAGCACGAGUUUCGAAAUUCAGAAAGUUUUGGAGAACAAAUGGUGGAGGGUGACUAAUAUCAAUUCUGACUAUUCUUUAUGUCAAACUUAUCCAGCUCACUUGAGAGUCCCAAAAACUAUAAGUGACGAAGAGCUGAAGGAAGCUUCUAAAAGCCGAAAAAAGAUGCGCUUCCCUGCUAUUUCUUGGUGUGACUCUGGCUCUGGAGCUGUUUUGGCACGGUCAUCUCAGCCAAUCGCGAUGAUGGAUCAUAACGAGGACGUGAAACUUGUAUAUGCCUUUUGCACCCCAAGGAUUAAACCCACAGACGAAUUCAGUGUGAACAGAAAAUUAUACAUAGUUGAUUGUCGCCCAUGGACUAGCGCUCAGGCAAAUAAGUUAACACGUGGUGGAACAGAGUCAGCUAGUACUUAUCAAGAAGCUGAGAUUGUGUUUUUAGGAAUUCUGAAUAUCCAUGAUAUUAGAGGCAGUUUUACCGGCCUCCGGGAGUAUGUCAAUGCUUACGAAUCAAUUCAUCAAGUGGACUCCCUUUAGGUGGAUCUGUUCUUGGAGACCUGAAAAAUCAUCAAUUAACUCUAGAUAAAAGGAUAGGCUCUCCCAAAGCCUUAGGAAUGGCUAAAUUAUAUUCGGAGUAUACUGGUUGGGGCUUCAUGGAUCGCUGAAAAAAUUGCACAAGAAUCAGCUUCAGUUCUAGUCCACUGCAGUGAUGGCUGGGACAGAACAACACAGUUAGUUGGACUUGCUUCUAUCCUGCUUGAUCCGUAUUAUCGAACAUUCUCUGGGUUCCAGGCCGUUGUGGAAAAAGAUUGGUUGGCUUUUGGUCACCAGUUUGCAAAGAGGAUGGGCCUUCCAACACUAGGUGAAAAAGAGCAGCCAAAUGAGAAGGAAAUUUCACCAAUACUAUUGCAGUGGUUGGAAUGUAUUGCUCAGCUGAUGCGCAUGUACCCGUCUGCAUUUGAGUUUUCAUCCAUAUUUCUGGUGGAUUUUAUGGAUGCUGUGCUAUCGUGCCGUUUUGGUAACUUCCUAUGCAAUAGUGAGGAGGAAAGGGCACGUGCUGAUGUCGUGAACUCUUGUCCUUGCAUUUGGGAGCAUUUGGCUGAUAUGUGGGCCUCCUGCGGCAUGGUCCACAAGCACAUGAAUACUUUUUACAACCCAAGCAAAUAUACUGGUGCCAUUGUCCCGCCAGCUUCAGCGCUUACUCCCAUACUUUGGCCUGAAUUUUAUUUGAGAUGGACUUGUCCACUUGAAUCACAAAGGGAGAGCGAUUAUGUGGAAGCAUUGAAGUCAAAGAAGGAUGCUGAGCCUCGAAGCACGGUAGCAGAACUGGAAGGGAGCCAUACAGACGUGGCCAAGCCAAGUGGUGGAAAUUGUAGACUUCGGGUAGUGGGCUCCAAUGUUUUGAUGUGAAGUUGGUGCACGAAAUAGAAAAGCAAAACCUGUUUUAAUUGAGGACAACUGUGAGGAUAUCCCAACAUGACAGAUGUUUCUGUGGCUGUAGGAAGGGGUUGCAGCAACUUACAGUCUUAAACUGGUGUCACUGCUUUCCUCUUUACAUGCCCAUUGAGUUGUCUUGCUACAUGUUGGGAGUUAGUUACAAAGUGAGAGGGCCUGUAAUUUUGGGUGUGCUUGUCUGGUUGCUCAUUCUUUAUCCUUGUGCUGGCAAAUCAUGUGCUUUCUGGAGGAGAGUGAUACUCGGGAGUUCCACGGAGCAACUCGUGAGAGCUGCCUCACGGAGCGCUUCACCGUCAUGUGUUAUGCCGUCCUUGUGUGUAGCAUAGCAUGGCAUAAUUGCGAGCGAACUCAUGAAAUUUGUAUCACAUUGUUGCCA
rnacentral:rRNA from 1 species